rnacentral:rRNA from 1 species
UACGUAGGGGGCGAGCGUUGUCCGGAUUUAUUGGGCGUAAAGCGCUCGCCGGCGGCUCGAUGCGUCGUGCGUGAAACACCCCGGCUCAACUGGGGAGGGUCGUGCGAUACGGUCGGGCUGGAGGCCAGUAGGGGGAUGCGGAAUUCCGGGUGUAGUGGUGGAAUGCGUAGAGAUCCGGAGGAACACCAGCGGCGAAGGCGGCAUCCUGGACUGGUACUGACGCUGAGGAGCGAAAGCCAGGGGAGCAAACGGG